AGGGUUGAAUGAACGAUGUCCAUAAAACCCCUGGCCUGGUACCUGGCAGGUUGGAGAGGUUCGUGGCCACGGAGAAGAAGCGCUCAGUACCAGGAGUGGUGUGAGCAGAACCAGUCCCUCCAGGGCUAAGCAGAAUGGGUCCCUCCAGCAUCCCUGAGCCUCCAGCAUCCGAGCCGCUCAGCACCCAGAAGAGCUGAUCAUUAAACAUUUACCAGCACAUCUCUGAUGAAGGCAUUGAGGAUGGGUGAAAUUUCUGGAAGACUGUGAGCUUGGUGGGUCUCUACCCUGGCUGCACGUGAGGGUCACCUGAGGAGCUCUUAGCAAAUCCCAACACUCAAACACCACUCCAGACGGAUUGAAUCAGAAACCGGAGGAAGCAGAGGAAUGGGGGCAGUGAGCUAGAGAGGGUCCCGGGGUCACAGGAGAAGACUGCCCGCCAGAGUGUGUUAGCCGGCGAACCGAAUGCCCUUUGACUGGGAGGUGCUGCUGACGCUGACGAGAGAGAAGAGACAAAGUCCAUGGAUGACCAAGGAGUGAGGUCCAGAGGCCACACGGCAGGAGAAGAGCCAGCCAGGCGGUGAUGGCUUCCGUCUGCACUGUUGCAAUACUGCUCUCGUCUGCGUGUUCUUGUCCACCCCACCCUCUACUGCCUGGUUGAUCUCCCGAAAACACUGUCAAGGGUUGAGCAUGGAUUGCAACACUUGUCGAGGGUGGGGCUGCGGCUUGGCUGAGAUCCGCGUCUGGCCGGCUCAAGGAAAGCCUUUGGAAUUCUGAAGACCAUUAUCCCCGAAAAUGCGUGUGAGACAGAGCGGGGUUUCAGGGACAGCCUGCAGAGGCAUGGAGGGGCCCCCAGAGC
rnacentral:lncRNA from 1 species